CUGACAGCUGCAACACUGCGUCUCUCGCUGCUGUGUUCACCGUCUUCAGGAGUAACACUUCUACAACAGAAGAGAAGCUCCAAGAUAUCUAAAUUUCUGAAGGAAGCUGCUGACAGAGAUGUGGGAAACAUAGGUUUCCCAUCCCAGUGUUACUACAGCUUGGAUCCAGCCUCACUAGUGGUGACU